UUCAACUUGCCAAUCACUUGGCCCGUGACAUGUCGAAUGAGAGGUAUUUUGGGCUUCUUUACUUGUGAGUGCCAACAUCAGUAAGGAAACUAAAGUCAGCCAAAGGAUCAGCAAAGUUGGUUGCCUAACUGCCGAACAGCUGCCAGAGACAUAGAAGAGGUUCCAAUCACUUAGCCCUUGACAUAUAAAAUGAGCGAUAUUUUGAGGUUCUUUACUUGUGAGUGUAGCAUCUGAGCUAAAGAAUCAGCUAAACAGCUACCUGCGACAUUGGAGAGGUUAGUAGUAGGUCUGUUUUUUUUAAAAUUCCGUACUGUGUCUCACUCCGAUUGUGAGCUCCUAUAGUCAAAUGAUUUUUAAUGAAAAAUAGGACGUCGCACUGGUAAUAAAUUGUGAAUUAAUGCAACAAAGAAUUCACUGUCCAGGUUUACAAUGCUGAACCUGUUAAAAGAGUAGAGUGGUUAUACACACAUGAGGGAUAUGGAUGAGCUCAACUUGUAGUGCUCUUCUAUUGAGUGAACGUGUAGAUUUAAAAUAUCACUGUUUUCCUUACCUUUGAAAGCUAUACACUAUCAGUCCAUUUGUAUUACAGAAAAAAAAAUCCCCCACUGCAAAGAUAACCCAGCCGUUUAGCAAAUAUUUUGGUUUCCUUUGGCGCACACCAUCAGUAUCUUCUAUUAACCAAUAUAGGCAAGGUAUUUACUUCCAGAUAUUUACACGUGUACAUAAGAGUGGUGAACUAGAGGUUUGUAAGAUCAUGUCGUUUCCAUGCCACCAAUUAUCUGGUAUGUAUGUUUUAAGAGAACUGAACCUGAGGUUCGUUGCAGUUUUAGUAUGCCAUGCUAUAACAGUAUACCAUUAUAUUCUUCAGACUAUAGGGCAAGUUCAAAGGUGCAACAAAUCCGAGCUUUACGCCGAAUUGGAAUAUGUGCUUCUAUUUUCGGUCACAUUUCUUUCACCACUCUACUCUUGCAAUCUUGCUAUCUCUCUUACCCGGUGGCCCUGAAGUAUUCUUGUGGCAUUGUACAUAGUACCAACAUUGAGUUAGGCUGAGUAUUUGGUUUUGGUUUUCAGUUUGUGUACGUGCAAACUCAGCUGUGGAAUAAAAUUCAGCUUGUGUACUCAUAA